rnacentral:rRNA from 1 species
CGUAGGGUGCGAGCGUUAAUCGGAAUUACUGGGCGUAAAGCGUGCGCAGGCGGUUUUGUAAGACAGAUGUGAAAUCCCCGGGCUCAACCUGGGACCUGCAUUUGUGACUGCAAGGCUAGAGUACGGUAGAGGGGAUGGAAUUCCGCGUGUAGCAGUGAAAUGCGUAGAUAUGCGGAGGAACACCGAUGGCGAAGGCAAUCCCCUGGACCUGUACUGACGCUCAUGCACGAAAGCGUGGGGAGCAAACAGGAUUAGAUACCCUGGUAGUCCACGCCCUUAACGAUGUCAACUGGUUGUUGGGUCUUUACUGACUCAGUAACGAAGCUAACGCGUGAAGUUGACCGCCUGGGGAGUACGGCCGCAAGGUUG